GUAUUACAAUUAUGUUAUUGUAUGAAGCAUUGAAAUAGCUCAAGUGUUUGUAAUAAAACAUAGACAAAAAGGACUUUGCAAAGAGUCUCUUUUGCCUACCGAAAGGUGCACAGGUGGAUAUUGGUUUUGGGAGUGCACAUUGCCCCCUGAGGAGGGCCAGCACAUCCUUUAAAAUCAAUAAUGAUCCUUCCGCAGGUUCACCUACGGAAA
rnacentral:misc_RNA from 1 species